GGCACCUGUUUGCAUUAGAUACAGAACACUCCGCAGGGUCCCGAGUAGGCAGUUGUGGUCCACAGGCCACUGGCAAACAGAGGCAGAGCCACAGAGGGGCUGCUCGUCCCCAAAUGUCUCUCCAGCCGCUCUGAAGCUGCUGCGGGCUGCUGUGCUGGUCCAUGGAGAAGGUGGAACACUGGACUAAAGAGACAGGCUGAGGAAGCCCUCAAGUCACCCCUGAUGGAGGCCAGACCUUGAAUGUUACAAUCCCUCUGCUUAUCGACCCUUAAUAAAAAUCUGAGCAGGUCUUCUCUGCAGGACACAGGAGGCUUUCUGGAAAAAAAAACAUGGAAAAGUGAGUCUCCUAAGCGUUCCCAAGUGAUUGAUGCAGGACACAUCUUAAAAGGAUGAAAGGAGGAUGGAGGAAAACUUCAGAAGGAAAUAACACAGUUUGAAUGAAAACACCUAUUUUGCAGAAAGUCCGGAAGUGCUCGACCAAGAGAUCGCGAGAUGGGAGCAGAGAGUACAGGAAAGGAAGGAGGAGAAAGAAAGGCUGGAAACCUUUGAAUGCACAAAAAAAACAGGUCAUGAAAGAUACCACGAGCCAACUAAAAUCUCUGGCUGAAAAUGUGCUGGACACCAUGCAGUUGGAAGAUUUCACUAGGGACCGCAGUGAUGAGGGGAACUUGGAAGCAGAGCUAAAGAGGAAAGCAGAAAAUGAAGAAACCACCCCCUUAAAAAUUAAGUAAAUUUUUUUAAAGUUAUGUGCAUACAUUCUGUAUAUACAGAAAAGAUAUCUAAAUUGUAUGCACGCAGAAGGAGCAUUGCCCCCACAAGGAACAGUUCAUGCUAAAUGGUGCAGAUGAAGAGACUUUGACAAAGGAAGUUUCCUGAGCUGUGGGCAGGGAUGAGAGCUCAGACAAAUGAUGGGAAGCCUCCCAGAUGCCAAGGUUUCCCACCCCCAGGUUUCAAGGGAGGAGAGAGGAAGUGAUGUCAUCUGAGCCCAGUGAGGCCCUGUCAAGGGACCAGGGAAAACUGCCCCCACUUUUUGCUCCCAUCCUCUCAUUGACUGCAGGUGCACAGGCAGCUGCCUGAAAGAGGGCCUGCGAAGUGCAAGCCAGAGGAGUUGGCCUCCAUGGCACAGAGCAGGCAGAAAACAAAUUUGGAGAAUGACCAGCACUCUUGGGUUUAUUUGACUGAAAGUGCUUGUUUUAUUGCAUUCACUCACAUCCAUUUAUU
rnacentral:lncRNA from 10 species